GGGGAUGUGGCGCAACGGGUGAGCGCAGCGUUCUUAUAAGGCGCCGGUUGCCAGUUCGAGUCUGGCCAUCCCCA
rnacentral:tRNA from 1 species